rnacentral:rRNA from 1 species
UUUGUAGAGGAUACUUUUGAUGCGGUGCCUUCCGAGUUCCCUGGAACGGGACGCCGUAGAGGGUGAGAGCCCCGUCUGGUUGGAUGCCAAAUCUCUGUAAAGUUCCUUCAAC